rnacentral:rRNA from 1 species
AGUCGAACGGAUCCUUCGGGAUUAGUGGCGGACGGGUGAGUAACACGUGGGAACGUGCCCUUUGGUUCGGAACAACUCAGGGAAACUUGAGCUAAUACCGGAUGUGCCCUUCGGGGGAAAGAUUUAUCGCCAUUGGAGCGGCCCGCGUCUGAUUAGCUAGUUGGUGAGGUAAAGGCUCACCAAGGCGACGAUCAGUAGCUGGUCUGAGAGGAUGAUCAGCCACAUUGGGACUGAGACACGGCCCAAACUCCUACGGGAGGCAGCAGUGGGGAAUCUUGCGCAAUGGGCGAAAGCCUGACGCAGCCAUGCCGCGUGAAUGAUGAAGGUCUUAGGAUUGUAAAAUUCUUUCACCGGGGACGAUAAUGACGGUACCCGGAGAAGAAGCCCCGGCUAACUUCGUGCCAGCAGCCGCGGUAAUACGAAGGGGGCUAGCGUUGCUCGGAAUUACUGGGCGUAAAGGGAGCGUAGGCGGACUGUUAAGUUAGAGGUGAAAGCCCAGGGCUCAACCUUGGAAUUGCCUUUAAUACUGGCAGUCUUGAGUACGGAAGAGGUAUGUGGAACUCCGAGUGUAGAGGUGAAAUUCGUAGAUAUUCGGAAGAACACCAGUGGCGAAGGCGACAUACUGGUCCGUUACUGACGCUGAGGCUCGAAAGCGUGGGGAGCAAACAGGAUUAGAUACCCUGGUAGUCCACGCCCUAAA